rnacentral:rRNA from 1 species
UAUCAUGCAGNUCGAGCGGACAGAAGGGAGCUUUGCUCCCGGAUGUUAGCGGCGGACGGGUGAGUAACACGUGGGUAACCUGCCUGUAAGACUGGGAUAACUCCGGGAAACCGGCAAGCUAAUACCGGAUAGUUCCUUGAACCGCAUGAGUUCAAGGAUGAAAGACGGUUUCGGCUGUCACUUACAGAUGGACCCGCGGCGCAUUAGCUAGUUGGUGGGGUAAGUGGCUCACCAAGGCGACGAUGCGUAGCCGACCUGAGAGGGUGAUCGGCCACACUGGGACUGAGACACGGCCCAGACUCCUACGGGAAGAAGGCAGCAGUAGGGAAUCUUCCGCAAUGGACGAAAGUCUGACGGAGGCAACGCCGCGUGAGUGAUGAAGGUUUUCGGAUCGUAAAGCUCUGUUGUUAGGGAAGAACAAGUGUCGAGAGUAACUGCUCGCACCUCUUGACGGUACCUAACCAGAAAGCCACGGCUAACUACGUGCCAGCAGCCGCGGUAAUACGUAGGUGGCAAGGCGUUGUCCGGAAUUAUUGGGCGUAAAGGGCUCGCAGGCGGUUUCUUAAGUCUGAUGUGAAAGCCCCCGGCUCAACCGGGGAGGGUCAUUGGAAACUGGGAAACUUGAGUGCAGAAGAGGAGAGUGGAAUUCCACAGUGUAGCGGUGAAAUGCGUAGAGAUGGUGGAGGAACACCCAGUGGCGAAGGCGACUCUCUGGUCUGUAACUGACGCUGAGGAGCGAAAGCGUGGGGAGCGAACAGGAUUAGAUACCCUGGUAGUCCACGCCGUAAACGAUGAGUGCUAAGUGUUC